CAUGACAGAGCAAAACUCAGUCUCAAAAAAACCCAAAAAAGCAAACCAAAAAAAAUCCCAAAACAGCCCUCCACAGAAAUCCCCAAAAGCAAGCACAGUAUUUAUGGUCUGAUUUUAUGUUCCUAAGUCCUAAAGAAAGUGUCAGUUAAGCCGUCUUCUAAAUAUGAGCACUCCAGCUUUUCUAAUUAGCUAGUAGAAAUACUGACAAUGUCCUAAUUCAUUGUUAAUUCAGAAUACAUUUGCCACUUUUACUAUGUAAGGGUUUUUAUAAUCUAGUGUGGUAUGGUACCUGGACUAGUUUGCCAGCGUAGUGGCUGAAACAGAUUAAUUUAUUCACACUGGGAAGAAUGCAGUUGGGAUAAUGCUGCACUGCUCUUGCUCUCAUGAGCCUUUUAAUUGCCUUUGCCUUAUGCCCUUUCUACAUAGAUGAGAUCACAGAAGCUCAAAAGGACAGGUUCAUAGUAAGGGGACAGAGCCAUUUGGAGUGAGGCCCUUAAGCCCUUUAUUUUGGAUUUUUCCUCCCCAGUUAGUUGGGUGGCAACUCAGAAAGAUAAAUUUUCAUUUAAGACACUUUAUUAAAAAGCCACUUUGAAUCUAUAAGAACAUGUGGAAUGGGAGAUGUCCUUUUGUCCUAGAAUUUGAGACCUCAAAGUUUUGGACAUUGAGUGACAAUCUCCCCCAUACUUCAGAGAUUGGUGCUGCACCCAGCUCUAUGGGAAUUACUGAAAAUUAGCCAGAUCACCAACUGGUCUGUGAUCUGCCUCUGGCCUAUUUGGACCUGUUUUACAGGGAAGGGAGGCAGAUGCUUCCUACACCAUCAGAUCAUGGGUUGGGAGGCCCCAAGAGUACUGUGUAUAGAGGUUAUGUUCAUCUACAAAAUGGUACAAUGUCAUCUGAGUCCCUGGCUGGAUGUUUGCCAAAUUGCAAAAACCAGUGGGGUUUCCUCUUGCAGCUAGCUGAGCAAAGAGUGAGUUUCUUUCUUGAGAGAACCUGACGUGGCUCUGCAUAAUUUGAAACAAAGUGUGGUAAUAAUAGGUCUCUGCUUCCCCUCUGGAAAAGACAAAGGAUAGAAAAGAAAGUAGAUCUGCCUUUGACUGAAGGGCAAGGAGGAAGGCGUCAGCAGUUUGUCAAGCUAUACAUCCACUGUAUUUCCUGCAAGUCAAGUGGACCCUAAGAGGGCUUCCUACUGGGGCAAAGCUGAGGGGUGCUGGUGAUUCUGAGUGGUCAGCUGAAGAGCUCAUUGUCUAUUGCAGGAAACGUCUAGGCAUAGGAACUUGUUGAGAGUCUCCCAAGAAUCUGCAAAUGUAGUUAAUGAGAUCCAAUAUUUGGAAGAAUGCUAUGACAGAGGGCAUCUAAUAGUCAAAUGAGAAUUAUAAAAUAGCUUUUUUUUGGAUCCGUGCCAUCAUCUUGGAUUCAGAAAUGGAAAGGCAAGGUUGGGGACGGGAUGAGGGGAAGAAAUGAGUAUAAAAACCAAAACAGAGUCCUCCUCUAUGUCUUCUCAUGGCUUCUCUUCCCCUCACACUGAGUCAUUACUGAGCUGACAGGAGGGGACAGUGCAAAUCGAAUAUUAGAUUAAUGCUUUGAGUUAGACAAGACUGAACUUUUUAAUACUGGAUGACAAAAUUGUUAUCAUGAAAAUAGACCUGAAAGAGACACUGUUAAGGCUGGAGGAUGGGAGACCUGACAAAACGUUUGAAUACAGUGAUGGGAGAAAAAUGAUGCUGUUUCCUGAUUGCUACUGAGUCCAGCUCCUCAUGUAAUAAUGAAUAAUGAAGGGCCCAGGUUCCUUAACAGAUGCAUUGUAGAGAAAUGGAAAAGAUGGGAGAGGAUUCUGAUUUCUGAAUUAUAAACUUAGAAAAUCACUACAGUGAAAGGCUUCAUUUAAAUAAGAGGCUAAAUUAGAAAGUUUCCUUGAUAUGUUGGGACUUUAAACAUCUAUACUUUUUGGAGGGGUAGGGAAGGGGUGUUACUUUUUAAUAUAUUGUGAGCAAGAAAAAUUUGUCAGAUUUCAGUAGCAAUAUGCUUUUCUUUUCUUUCUUUCUUUUUUUUUUUUAAAAAAAAAACAAAUCCUGCCUCAGGUUUAUUUGUACGAAUAGCACAGAAGGACACCAGUCCUAUUCAGACGACAGCCCAGGGUGGGUCACACCAGUCCUUCUGUCCUCACAUUGGCAGACAGAGAUCUCUACUCUGAAGGCUUUGUAGCAGCCUGGGCACCUUUGGGAGCCUGAGCUGGAACUGAAGCUGGAGAUGUAGCCUGCGCCUUGGUUUGAUCCUUGGCCUUGGCCUUUGGCCAGCACAGCCUGAGCCCCUUGUCAAUACGGGCAUGAGCACCCUUGCCAAGCUUGGGGUGGGCAAUGUAGGCAAGUUGAUUGAGCUUGCAGCUUACACCCUGUGGGAUCUUGGGCUUAACCUCCUUGGGCUUUACGAGGACCUUGAUAGCAUUGGCAUGUGCACUCAUGGCCUUGGCAUUGUUGGCCUGCAUCUUCUUUGGGCCCUUCUUGUGCUUCUCGGCAAAGCGCAUGUUCCUCAGGAACAUGGGGUUCACCCCUUAGGAGAUUUGUAUCUUUAUAAUUGGGGUUUCUUAAGGCAAUUUCUAUGCCAUAUUUGGGAUUGGUUGUGUGUGGUAUUAUUCUUGGACUUGGCCAUGUCUACACUGUAACCUGCGGCUCCUGAAGCACCUGGAACCGGUAUGCUUUUGUAUAUAACUGGACAUCUUGGUUUGUUUGCAUUUCUAUAAAGGAAUUCCCAAAGCUGGGCAAUUUUUAAAGAAAGGGGUUUACCUGGCUCACAGCAGGCUGUACAAGUAGCAUGGCAUCAGCCUCUGUUUCUGGAGAGGGACUCAGAUUGCCUCCAGUCAUUGUGGAAAGCAAAGGGGAGCUGCUGUGUUCAGAAAUCACAUGGUGUAAUAGGAAGCAAGAGAGACAGGAGAGGCAGGUGCUAGGCUCUUUUAACAAACAGUUCUCACAGGACCUAAGAGUGAGGUUUCACUCAUUUCUGUGAUGACAACACUAAGUCAUUCAUGAAGGAUCUACCCCUGUGACCCAGACACCUCCCAUUAGGCCCCACCUCCAACACUGAGGAUCAGAUUUCAACAUGACAUUGAGGAGAACAAAUAUUCAAACAGUAGUACCUGGGAUAUAAUGUUAUUUUGGAAUGCUGUACACUUUUCACACACCAUCUCAUUCCAUAUACAUUAUUUUUAUAAAUUAUCAUAGCAGAGUUUUCAUUAUAAUUCUGAAAUUACAUUCUCCAUUGCUGACAAUGCAGCUUUAAUAUUGUUGGUCCUAAUAGUGACAUUAGCUAUUUGGUGUUUUUAUUGUUUUAUGUGGACCAUAAUGACUUAAGCCUUUUGAGCAUACGUCAGUUCAUUUAGUUACCUCCAUUAUUUCUUUCAACCGAGAUACACAAGGAACAAUUUUAGUUAACAGACUCCAGGUUCAAUUUUUAGACAAAUGAGCUUUGGCUUUUGGAAAAAGCUUGAACAUAGAGUGUAAUAUAAAAGCUAGGCCCCCCUCCAGUUUCUUUUUUAAGACUUUUCUACUAAUGUGAAAAGUCCUUGAUUCUCUUGGUAAUGAAGAGAUUAAAUCAUUGGUGUCAUUAUAUGUUGAAUUUGGCUGUUUUCAUCAGCCUUCAGGUUCUGGCUUGUCUGCCUUUU